AACCACACGCAAAUACGGCAGCAUUCUCAAAGGUGGGUUCUGGGAUCCCAGCCAUCAUGGGUACUGCUUGAGAUGAUACGCAAAAAGGACAUGAACGUUUUCCUCCCUAAUGGGUCCUUUGGGGGCAAUUUGCUAAAACAUAACAGGUUGUUUUAGAUGCUUCUUAAAAUUGGUAAUCAUAUCCCAUUCUUUCUUUAUCUCAUAGAACUCGGGAUGCCUACCCAACACAGCCUGAUUAUGCUAUAUGUGCUUAGUAAGUACAUUCAAUGAAUGACUAAAUGAAAGACAGGGAGGAAGAAGGAAACAGUCCAGAACUGAAAGGGAUGAGAAGAGAAAAAAUGUGGAGAAAGAGAAGGAUGGGUAACAAAGGAGCCAGCAGUCACUGAUCAGUAGAGUAUAGGUGAGAGAGGGGAAAGGAGACAGCUGCAGAUAAUGGAAAAUAACAAAACAAAACUGAGGUCUGGGAAGCUCCGAUUUUAAAAAGUGAACAUGAGUUAUGAGACUAAUUCAGAUACUGGCCACACCAGGAGGCCCCCGCCCAGGAGAUGAGGAUGACCACCAACUGCUGAGAAUCUUUGUAAACUCAAAUCAAGGUGUAUUUAUUGCACAGGCACAAUAAAUGAACAAGGCAUCUUAAGUACUACAAUGACAGGUGAGUGGGUCAGGCACAGUGGCUUGGCUAGUCAUGAUUAGCAAAGGAACUUCAAAGAGUUUUGGAGCCUGCUUUAUAUCUGUGAAAUGGGAAUUAUUUCCAUCUCAAAGGUUUGAGGGGAUUCGCUGAGAGAAACUUCUUAGCAUGGGAUCUCCAGAAACUGGAAGCCACAGAGAAAGCAGCGGCCAGAGGGAGGAGGAAUCGGACAGGCUGAUCACUUGGAGUGUUCGCCUAAGCAGUUUCUAGAAAUGGAGGCAGGGACCAUCAGGAAGCUCAAAACCUUUGCUUCAGCCGAGUUUGCAGAACGCCCUGUGAGGAGAAUG
rnacentral:lncRNA from 1 species